rnacentral:misc_RNA from 1 species
ACAGGAAAUCCAAUGUGACCUCAUGAUAUGAUGACGAUGAUGAUGCAUUUGUUUUGCAGAUUACAAAUCAUAAUAAUAAACUUCAUAAUAUCAUGAGGUCACAUUGGAUUUCCUGUAAAACAGCAGGGUUUAUAGCUACAAAGCUGUAGUUUGUGCAGGUUCAAGAUUUAUUUUGUAAAAAUUUAUUGAUAUCAACAUAAUUUAACACCCC